rnacentral:tRNA from 1 species
GUGGUAGUAGCUCAGUUGGUUAGAGCACCGGAUUGUGGUUCCGGGGGUCGUGGGUUCGAAUCCCAUCAUCCACC